rnacentral:rRNA from 1 species
UACGUAGGGGGCAAGCGUUAUCCGGAUUUACUGGGUGUAAAGGGAGCGUAGACGGUGAUGCAAGUCAGAAGUGAAAGCCCGCGGCUCAACUGCGGGACUGCUUUUGAAACUGUAUGACUAGAGUGCAGGAGAGGUAAGCGGAAUUCCUAGUGUAGCGGUGAAAUGCGUAGAUAUUAGGAGGAACACCAGUGGCGAAGGCGGCUUACUGGACUGUAACUGACGUUGAGGCUCGAAAGCGUGGGGAGCAAACAGG